CCAAUUUUCGGCGCCGAUUUGCCUGAUCCGCUUGCGGGCGCCUUCCAAUAAAUCCAGCUAAAGAGGUCCGUAUGACCACUCC
rfam:Achromobacter insuavis AXX-A genomic scaffold scaffold00003, whole genome shotgun sequence.